rnacentral:misc_RNA from 1 species
GAUGAAGAACGUAGCGAAAUGCGAUACGUAAUGUGAAUUGCAGAAUUCAGUGAAUCAUCGAAUCUUUGAACGCACAUUGCGCCCCUUGGUAUCCCGAGGGGCAUGCCUGUUCGAGCGUCAUUUCACCACUCAAGCCUGGCUUGGUGUUGGGCGACGUCCUCUUUGGGGACGCGCCUCGAAACGCUCGGCGGCGUGGCACCGGCUUUAAGCGUAGCAGAAUCUUUCGCUUUGGAAGUCGGGGCCCCGUCUGCCGGAAGACCUGCUCGCAAGGUUGACCUCGGAUCAGGCAGGGAUACCCGCUGAACUUAAGCAUAUCAAUAGCGGAGGA